GCUGCGGGGAGCCGCAGUGAAGAGGCCCAGGCGACUGUUUAGCAAAAACACAGCACUCUGCCAAGUCGCAAGACGACGUAUAGGGUGUGACACGUGACCAAUGCCGAAAGGUCAAGCGGAAGGGUCAGCCGCGAGGCGAAGCCCGGAUGUGAAGCCCCGGUGAAUGUCGGCCGUAACUAUAACGGUCCUAAGGUAGCGAAAUUCCUUGUCGGGUAAGUUCCGACCUGCACGAAUCGUGUAACGCUGUGGGCGCUGUCUCAACGAGGAUCUCGGUGAAGUUGUAAUUCCGGUGAAAAUGCCGGAUACCCGCAGUAGGACGGAGAGACCCCGUGAACCUUUACUGUAAUCUGACAUUGUGUUUUGGUUGGUUAUAUGUAGCAUAGCUGGGAGGCUGUGAAGCGAUCUCGUCAGGGAACGUGGAGCCGUCAGUGAAAUACCAGUUUUAGUCAACCGGAAUUCUAACCGCAUACCGUCAUCCGGUUGCGGGACCGUGUCAGAGGGUCAGUUUGACUGGGGCGGUUUCCUCCUAAAUGGUAACGGAGGAGUUCUAAGGUCACCUCAGCACGGUCGGCAAUCGUGCGUAGAGCGUAUGGGUAGAAGGUGGCUUGACUGCGAGACCCACAAGUCGAGCAGGUGCGAAAGCAGGACUAAGUGAUCCGGCGGUUGCUAGUGGUAGCGCCGUCGCUCAACGGACAAAAGGUACUCCGGGGAUAACAGGCUAAUCGCCGCCAAGAGUCCAUAUCGACGCGGCGGUUUGGCACCUCGAUGUCGGCUCAUCACAUCCUGGGGCUGAAGAAGGUCCCAAGGGUUUGGCUGUUCGCCAAUUAAAGUGGUACGCGAGCUGGGUUCAAAACGUCGUGAGACAGUUUGGUCCAUAUCCACUGUGGGCGUAGGAGAUUUGAGGAGAACAUUCCUUAGUACGAGAGGACCGGGAAUGACGCACCUCUGGUGUUUCGGUUGUCGCGCCAGCGGCAUCGCCGAGUAGCUAUGUGCGGAAUGGAUAAGCUCUGAAUGCAUCUAAGAGCCAAGCCGACUCCAAGAUUGUAUCUCCCUUCCAGGUUCGCCUGGACUGUAGGCAGGUUGAAGACUACGACCUUGAUAGGGCGGGUGUGUAAGCGCAGCGAUGCGUUCAGCUAACCGCUACUAAUCAGCCGUGAGGCUUGACCAA
rnacentral:rRNA from 1 species